rnacentral:tRNA from 1 species
GCUGGGGUGCCGGAGUGGACAAUCGGAAUGGUCUGUAAAACCAUCGGCGCAAGCCUGCAUAGGUUCGAAUCCUAUCCCCAGCA